UACGUAGGUGGCAGGCGUUGUCCGGAUUUACUGGGCGUAAAGAGCGCGCAGGCGGUCGUUCAAGUCGCGUGUGAAAGCCCCCGGCUCAACUGGGGAGGGUCACGCGAUACUGAUCGACUCGAAGGCAGGAGAGGGUAGUGGAAUUCCCGGUGUAGUGGUGAAAUGCGUAGAUAUCGGGAGGAACACCAGUGGCGAAGGCGACUACCUGGCCUGUUCUUGACGCUGAGGCGCGAAAGCUAGGGGAGCAAACAGG
rnacentral:rRNA from 1 species